GCCAGAGGGUGCAAACGUUGUUCGGAAUUACUGGGCGUAAAGCGCGUGUAGGCGGCUGCGUGUGUCGGGCGUGAAAUCCCAUGGCUCAACCAUGGAAGUGCACCCGAAACUGCGUAGCUAGAGUCCUGGAGAGGAAGGUGGAAUGCUUGGUGUAGAGGUGAAAUUCGUAGAUAUCAAGCGGAACACCGGUGGCGAAGGCGGCCUUCUGGACAGUGACUGACGCUGAGACGCGAAAGCGUGGGGAGCAAACAGG
rnacentral:rRNA from 1 species